GAGCAGGGCAUCGAUCUGGAGGGCGUGGGCGGGAGCGCCCGUGCUCCGGGCCGCAAGGAGGCUCGCGGGUGCAUCGCCUGCGUGCGGCGCAGGGCGCCAGAGUUGAUGCGGCCUCAGCCACUGGUCUAGCGGCGCCCUGCUGCUUGAGUGGGCAGGCGGGCCGGCCAGAUCUGGCCUGGCUGUGGAGGUGGGCGUCCCUGCUGAUGGCGCUGCUGGCCUCCAGAGGGCGGGCGUUCUUGGGCAGCUGGUGCGGGGCGUGCGGCUGCACGUGAGGGCUGGCGCGGAUCUGGGCAUGGCAGCGCGAAGUGGCCGUUUCUCCGCCACUGGUCGGUGGUUGGAGGGGCUGUAGGUGCGCUGGUCUUACACGGUGAUGCUUGGCGAGGUGGGCUACUCGGGUCCACUGGUUGGAUGGUUGAGGUUGCCGGCGAAAGCUGAACUCCGGCAGUGGCCGGAGUUGUCGAUGGCCGCGCCGGCAGGCCGUUUCCUUGCUGAAGCAGCCAGACAUGCCCAUCCGGCUGGAAAGGAAUCGGCAAGCUGCAGACCGAUGAAGCUAAGUAGUUUUGUUAUCUUUGUUUGCACAGCCAGAUAGCACGCCUUCUUGCUGAUUACUUCUUCCCGUACACUCACGUGAAACAACAUAGAUUCACUAAUUGAUUUUGGCCAGAUGCGCUAAUACAGAAAGUUAGCUUGAUUAGUUAAUCUUCAGCUAGAUGAGCGCACACAUGUAACGCACAGAACGCGCAAACACGGGAAAAUCUAUUGGAUGGCAAUAGGUGUGUGACGCACCUAUGUUUUUAUUGUUUUGAUCUGGUGAAGUUCAAAGGGGUUCUUAUUUUCAUAAGGCCAAAUGAUGUUCAUCAGUGCGUUGGAUACCUUUCCUCUUUUUUGCUAUGUAUGUUUUCAUGAUAUUUCUCUUGUCCUUUACAUAAAAUAUCUUUCUAUUACCCCUCGGAUGACUCCCAAAUGUUGUAGUUCAUCUGUCAAAAAAGGUGCUUUGCCUGAUAAUAAUUUUUUUGUUAUAUUUGUUAAAUAGUACACUGCAACAUUGAUUGUGCUAGGCGUGAUGGAAGCGUGAUGCUCGCAGACACUUGUCAAGAUGCGGAAGGAUGGGAACACAGUGGUGGGGAACUUGGGUAUAUGAAUGAUAGACAUGAUCAGAAUAUGCAUGCCACAUUAGGUUGACAUGGAGUGGAGAGGAGCCAAGGUAGGGGUGGUGAAGAGAGUCAUUGGAAGAACAAAGAAUAAGGUAUUUAGCGGGAAAUAAGGCAAAAAAUCAGUUGGACACAUAACGUUUAGCAAAAAUGAGCUCACCAUUUUUGAGUGUUUACUACAUCCUGGUCAUCUACAAGUACUACAAGACAUCAUAUGUAACUACAACCUUCCUCUUCAACAUGUCGUUUAUUUUGCGGGUGUCAUGUCUCUUAUUUUUGCGGGUAGCAGUUAUGUUGAAGACAAUUCUUUAUUUCUUUUGUAAGGUGAAAUACAAGCAUGUUAAUUAUUGUAUGAUGUAGAUUUAUAUAGAGAGAGUGGUUACUACCUUUUUUCCAUUCUAUCCAAAAAACGGAUUGGGUUCUACCAUCAAAAGCGAUAACGGAUAAAAACAAGAAAAAUCAACCAGGAGAGAGGGAGGAGUUGGCCGGCAUGGGGUCAUGAGUGGUACAAACAGGAAGAUGCACGCCCAUGGUUUUGUAGGUUCAGUUUACUGUGGAUUUUCAGUUCUUUUCAUCUCAUAAUUAUCUUUAUUUAUGUGUUAAGCUUUUAUUUUUCUUUUGGUCCUUCCCACUUGAGGCCUCUUGUGCACCUUGAUUUAGUUCUGUUCUUUAUUCGGUGCCAGUGUCUUAGGACAAUACUUUCAUGCAUGGAUUAUUUCCAGCAUUCAAAUUUGGAUACCUUUGUUCCACUAGGUUCGUUGCAUUCACCUUAUUGAAGAUAAUAAACACUUAUUGAGGAACAUGCUAAGGAUGGAGGAACGGACCUCAAGUUCCAGCUGCAUAUUAUUCAGCUUGAUUCAUUGCUCAGGAUUUUUGAAGAUAUGGCUUCUAAUUCCAUCAACCAAGAACUUAAUUCAGAAUCUAAAAUUUAAAGGUGAGGUAGAGGAAUAUUGCCUGUCCUGUCCAGAAACAAUGCUCGUUUUUUUAUUCCAGUCGAUGUAUUUCUUGUGUCUGAUGGAUUGAGUUUUGAGUUGGAACAUAAGUAUAUUAGUGUCAUAGAAUUUGCACAUAUGCUUUAUCCACUUGUGAUUACUAUUUACACAGCAUAUAUUUAUAUUUGGAUUACAGAUUCUCUGUACUUGUUGUUGUACUUUGUGUUUUCUACUGAUUGUGGUGCCUCUUGAAGCAGGGAAAGCUAGGAGUCAUUGAUGACAGGUACGGAAGUUGGUGGACACCUACAAGGAUGUGGAGGUGAGCAUCAUGGUGAUGCGGCACAACCUCGGGGCGGCGCUGGCCACCCUGAACACGUUCGAAAUCUUUGAGAAUGGCCAGUCAUGGCGUUUGCGUUUGUUAGGCCGCGCGUGGGCGGUGCCAGCUUUAAGAAGCGGUUCCGCGUCUACCACGCCCUCCGUGUCCGCAUCGCCCGGGACAUCAUGUCCAGGUACUCGAAGCUGUUGUACCACACCAUGGGGUCCGAGUUGGCCAUCGACAUCGGCACGUCGCCAUACCUGAGGGCGUCGCUGUCCGGUUUAUUUUUGCUGUUCGGAUCCCGCAAGUUUCAGUUGGCGCGGGUGUACAGCAGAGGUAUAUAUGUGAUAAGGUGCUGUGAUCAUGAGAAAAAGUAAGGAACUGCACAUCUGGGCCUCACAUUAAUUACAAAUGUUCAGUGGCUUACAAAGGGUACAUUUUACCUUGUUUGAAUUUCGAAGAUUUAGGCCAUAUACAUUGGUAUGUGAGACGUUGUGUCUUCCCAUAGAGAUACCAUCUAGAUUUUUAUUUUAUUUUGGAGUUGGAAGAAGGAUGAAUAAGAUGGAAGGAUGCCCCUUAAUCCGUAAGAGAAUACAUUUAGGUCAAAAUAUAAUUCUGUGGCUGAACUUUUACACUGGUCAGGCUUAGGUUUGGGCUGAGCAAAUAGUUUAAUUGGUGUUAAUGAGCCCAACAAAUGCAAGUUCAUCGAUUUCUCAUGAUAUGCUUUUGAUCUUUACCAAAAUAUGCAUUAUACCAUAUUCAUAUGUUCGUUUCCUAUGUCAGGUAUGCCGUACAGAGGGGAUCAAGCUGUAUAUUGCUAUGUGGAAUGCUUUGAUUCGAGGUGCUGUCGGGUUGGGAGCAUGAAACAUGCUCUGUAGUUCUUUGGUUCAAUGCAGGAGGAAGGGAUGUACAUAGACCCGAAGAUCUUUAUUAAGAUCAUCCACGGGUUGUGGAAGCAAGGGGAGUGAGAUUAAAUCAAGAAGUUUUUUGACAAAAUGAGGAUUCAAUGGCUCAAGGAGAAUAUCCUGCUUCUGGUACUUGCCUUCUACCUCACAAUGUUAACACAAAAGUUACUAUAUCUGUAAGACAUGCCCUCUCUCGUUUAAUGAUGUCCUGAAAUUUCCACAUAAAACUUGGUAAUCAUGCCAAGUAAUCAUGCUAAUUUUGAGAGAAGUUCAAGUGGCAUGCCCCCAUUUGCCAUGGUUGCGAUGUACUAAUAAGCUGC